CCCCUCUCAGGGUCGCACCUGGAGAGUUUCCAGUCCUCUACCAGUCCCGACUAUGGGAGGAAGAGUGAAGCAGAGGCCUGCAUGUGCCAUUCCUAGCUUGGGCAGUGGCUAGCGAGUGGCAGGCAAUCUGCUACAAGU